CGUCACUGGUACAUUCAGCGCUCUAGUUCCAAGAUGGCGGACAAUAUGUUCAGAGCUUUAGAGUUCAGACACAUCUUUAAGCUUACGCCACGCUCUUGUUCAUCACCAUUUCACAUUUUCUUUGAACCAUUGUGUGAAGGUAAAUGAUAAGAUUCUAAGCUCUUCAUUCCAGGUUACUGACAAUCUGCAAGCUGAUCAACAAAGAUGUUUUGUUACUACAGAGCUUGAUUUGCUUGUUGCAACAAUUGAUAACAGAAAAUGACGAUGAGGAUGACGUUUUGGUGAAUGUGAUGCACUUGAAAGGUGACAGACAAUUAUGUCCCUGUAACUAGUAUGGCUUGGAAUUUAGUUUUUUUCCCCCGAUGGUUAGUACAUCUAUAGUUUCAAGAUAAUGAAUAGAUAGGCUACCUGUUCCAGGGAUUGAUAGUAGAAAGUGAUGGUGAGGUUUUGGGGAGAGCAACUUCCUUCAAAAGUUAUUUUAAAAAAUCAAGAAAGGUUUUCAUGGAACAACACGCUGGUGAACGACUGACGAACUUGUCAACAAGUAAAAAUAUUGGGUGCUACUAACGAAUGAGUUUGCACAGUCAAAAUGGGCUUGUAAAGAAUGGAUUGUUGAAGAAGACGAUGGACUGUGGUGCCUUGGCGCUAAACACACUGGUAGCCAGUAGAUGGCGUGAAAAUCCAAUGACUGAAAGGCUAAGAGAUGGCGUAGCAAGUCGGACGUGACCCUGAAAACCCAAUAGAUGGCGUAGCAAGCCGGACGUGACCCUGAAAACCCAAUAGAUGGCGUAGUAAGUCGGACGUCACCCUGAAAACCCAAUAGAUGGCGUUGCAAUUUGGACGUGAUCCUGAAAACCCAAUAGAUGGCGUUGCAAGUCUGACCUGAAGCCGUAGCGCUAUAAAUGGCGUUACGAGUGUGCCCUGAAUCCGUCACCCAACGGAUGACGUUGCAAGUCUGACCUGAAUCCGCCACCCAAUGGAUGACUUUGCAAGUCUGACCUGAAUCCGCCACCCAAUGGAUGACGUUGCAAGUCUGACCUGAAUCCGCCACCCAAUGGAUGACGUUGCAAGUCUGACCUGAAUCCGCCACCCAAUGGAUGACGUUGCAAGUCUGAUCUGAACCCGAAGCCCAAUGGAGUUUCAAGGCUGGCCUGUAGUCCGGCGCGGCGUUGCGUGCUGCCUUGAACCAAACUGAAAUUCUUGGCCUUCGAUGAAUUUUCGGGUUAGAUGAAGAAAAGUAGUGAAAUGGAAAAUGUUCUGCGGAAAUGUUGAAUGUUCAGAUUUGUAACAGCUGUGAGAUGGAUAAUUUCACUGUCACACAUCUUGUAAAAGAAAGUGACACCGCAUAUGUAAAUACCUUACAUAGGAAAAGUCAUCUGCGCUGUAGGAUACAACCCUUUGUCUGUCUUGUAGAUUUUUAGGUGCAGUUAGUUAAAUGCUGUGGUAAUGAUAACUUACGCUGGCUGCCUAACAUUCCUUAAGUUGAGUUUUAUACUAAUAGAAAUCUCAUGGUAACUAAAUGAAACACUAUUUCUUACGCCUACCAUAGUUUUGCAGAUACAUCUGAAAUGUCAAGUUUUGUUGAGGUCAUCAAUUGAUACAAUACCAACAAAUUUAUUUCACAGUCGUGAAAUGAGUAAUGGCUAACAUAUCAAUUAUACCAGAUAUGGUGGAACUGAUACUACAGUGACUGUUGGAAGGUGUUUCUGAGCAUCAUUUAUCCCUUAUGAAGUCAUGACCCUGUAUUGGCGUACCAAUUCAAUUGACAAUGUCUUAUAUGUGAAAAUAAUGGAUAAUUUUAACCAGUGGAUGUGUGCCCAAUGGUAUUACUUGAAAGUAAUUUGUAAUUUAUUUUUACAAGAACGGAUAACUGUAAAAUUUUUGCAUUAAUGCUUUUUGGCUUUGUAGGAAAUGUAAUUCCCUCAAACAUGUGUGAUCUACUGUAUAGGUAAUCAAAGCAAUUUUUCUUCAGAGUGCUGAAUUAAGUUCGUGUCAUGAAAAUGACUAUGGAAAAAUUUUUAAGUAACUUGAAUUGGUGAUUAACAUGGUACUUUUUUUAAGGAUUUUUUUUAGGAAUGUUUUCAACAAAGGCAAAAUAUUUUUCAAGGGGUUACCCUUGGUUAAUGUCACAUAGUAGACAGAAUAGGAAUUUAAUGUCACGUCAAUGGUACAUAACAGUAUUUUAGUUCUAAAAUGGCGGGCAAAAAUUUC